AGCUCCAAUAGCGUAUAUUAAAGUUGUUGCAGUUAAAACGCUCGUAGUCGGAUUUCGGGGCGGGCCGACCGGUCUGCCGAUGGGUAUGCACUGGCCGGCGCGUCCUUCCACCCGGAGACCGCGCCUACUCUUAACUGAGCGGGCGCGGGAGACGGGUCUUUUACUUUGAAAAAAUCAGAGUGUUUCAAGCAGGCAGUCGCUCUUGCAUGGAUUAGCAUGGGAUAAUGAAAUAGGACUCUGGUGCUAUUUUGUUGGUUUCGAACACCGGAGUAAUGAUUAACAGGGACAGUCAGGGGCACUCGUAUUCCGCCGAGAGAGGUGAAAUUCUCAGACCAGCGGAAGACGAACCACUGCGAAAGCAUUUGCCAGGGAUGUUU
rnacentral:rRNA from 1 species